CCUACGGGGCGCAGCAGUGGGGAAUAUUGCACAAUGGGGGAAACCCUGAUGCAGCGACGCCGCGUGAGCGAUGAAGUAUUUCGGUAUGUAAAGCUCUAUCAGCAGGGAAGAAAAUGACGGUACCUGACUAAGAAGCCCCGGCUAACUACGUGCCAGCAGCCGCGGUAAUACGUAGGGGGCAAGCGUUAUCCGGAUUUACUGGGUGUAAAGGGAGCGUAGACGCCGAUGCAAGCCAGAUGUGAAAGCCCGGGGCUCAACCCCGGGACUGCAUUUGGAACUGUAUAGCUGGAGUGUCGGCGAGGCAG
rnacentral:rRNA from 1 species